rnacentral:lncRNA from 10 species
GUGGUAGUUGACACAGAGCCGGACGCACUCUAGAACCUCCCAUGAAUUCCAGAGAGUCAAAUGCCUGUGGUGGGCAGGAAUAAAUGUUCUACUUGAACAAGGUGACAUGGCCUGGGAGAGGGAGAACCACACCGACCAGGCAGGGCCCCGCCAUCAACCUGCUGAUGCAACAGAUAAGGCUAAAAAGAUUAAAAGGGGAAUGCACAGUGGUUCAAGCCUGAAAUCCCAACACUUUGGGAGGCUGAGGGGAAGAUUGCUUGAGACCAGGAGUUGAAGACCAGCCUGGGCAACAUAGCAAGACCCCAACUCUACAAAAAAAUUUUAAAAGGUAAUGUGCACCUGUAGUCCCAGCUACUCGGGAGUUUGAGGCAGGAGGAUCACUUAAGCCUAGGAGUUUGAGGCUGCAGUGAGCUAUGAUUAUGUCACUGCAAUUAAGCUUGGGUGACAGAGCAAGUCCCUGUUUUUGUUUUGUUUUGUGUUUGCUUUUUAAUUAAGAGGCACAAUGUAUGUGAAGUGUUUAGAAUUGAUUCCUGACACAUAAUAAGUAUUCAGUAAAUGUUAAGUCUCCAUCAUUGUUGUUAUUGUUGUUGUUACUAUCAACGUCUUUCCUCCAGAGUUGUUGCCAAGUUCACAUGAGAUGAUGCCUGGGAAAGCUCUGUGCUGUGCACCUGUCAGUAAUCCCCUUUAUUACAAUGAUAGCAACCUAAGGGAUAGAGUUAUUUGUGAAGGUCUAACCCUAUUCCUCCCCCAAAUGGUUCAAAUUCUUUGUAUUGCAGCCAACACUGAUGACGAGUGAGGGUUUGACUUGGUGCCCACUGUGAAUGACGUCCUUCAGUAGAUCUCCAAGAACUGCAGCAAAUGCUUUUCUGGGCUUAUUUUAGCAUCAGAGGGCCUUUGAAGCAGGAUUUCAACAUUUAGCUUCAUUGUUUGGGGAUGGUGCCUUGCAUUUAAUGUAGGUUUACAACUUGAGCCUUCCUUCCUCUCAUCAUCUUGAGAUACCAUGAAGGCAGGUCAGGGAUGUGGUUGGCAGAGACAUAUCUUCAGAUUCAAAUGAAUUCUGUUGUUGAUUGUUAUUGAUUUUGAGAGUAAUAAGUGCUCACUAUUAAAAAAACUGGAAAAUGUAGAAAAC